rnacentral:rRNA from 1 species
GAUGAACGCUGGCGGCGUGCUUAACACAUGCAAGUCGAACGGAAAGGCCGAAGCUUGCUUCGGUACUCGAGUGGCGAACGGGUGAGUAACACGUGGGUGAUCUGCCCUGUACUUCGGGAUAAGCUUGGGAAACUGGGUCUAAUACCGGAUAUGACGAUCUCUUGGAUGGGGUUGUGGAAAGCUUUUGCGGUAUGGGAUGAGCUCGCGGCCUAUCAGCUUGUUGGUGGGGUAAUGGCCUACCAAGGCGUCGACGGGUAGCCGGCCUGAGAGGGUGUACGGCCACAUUGGGACGGAGAGACGGCCCAGACUCCUACGGGAGGCAGCAGUGGGGAAUAUUGCACAAUGGGCGCAAGCCUGAUGCAGCGACGCCGCGUGGGGGAUGACGGCCUUCGGGUUGUAAACUCCUUUCGCAAUCGACGAAGCCUUUUGGUGACGGUAGGUUGAGAAGAAGCACCGGCUAACUACGUG